rnacentral:lncRNA from 1 species
AUGUUUGCAGAGCUGGCACACCCAGUGCUGGGUCAAUGUGAUUCAAAACUGAGAGGACCCCCAGUGAAAAUUUCUGUCCAGAUCUCAUUUUCUUUUUUUGCAUCUUCCAUUAAUAUUUUUAGCUUGAAUGAGUGGAUGAUUAAUCACGUCCUUCUAGACUCAGGAAACCUACAUUUUUACAGCUCUGUGGCUUUUUUUUCCUCCUGUAUAGCACAUAGCUGGUCACACUGACUGCAAAGCUUGUGGGUGCUGUGGAAUGGGAUUAUUUAGUGAAUAUUCAUUGGAGCUUCUACAUCGUGUUGGGGCCAUCGUGUUGGAAAUACAAGAAUAAAUAAGAUGACGAUGAAAAUCA